rnacentral:rRNA from 1 species
CCUACGGGUGGCAGCAGUGGGGAAUAUUGCACAAUGGGCGCAAGCCUGAACGAGCGAUGCCGCGUGAGUGAAGAAGGCCUUCGGGUCGUACAGCUCUGUUGCGGGGGAAUAAAGUCAGCAUCAGGAAAUGGGUGCUGACUGAUGGUGCCCCGCCAGCAAGUCACGGCUAACUACGUGCCAGCAGCCGCGGUAAUACGUAGGUUGCGAGCGUUAUCCGGAAUGAUUGGGCGUAAAGCGUGCGCAGGCGGUCCUGGAAGUCUGGAGUGAAACGCAUGGGCUCAACUCAUGCAUGGCUUUGGAAACUGGAGGAAUGGAGAGCAGGAGAGGGCGGUGGAACUCCAUGUGUAGCGGUAAAAUGCGUAGAUAUAUGGAAGAACACCAGUGGCGAAGGCGGCCGCCUGGCCUGUUGCUGACGCUGAGGCACGAAAGCGUGGGGAGCAAAUAGGAUUAGAUACCCCGGUAGUC